rnacentral:tRNA from 2 species
GUGGUUAUGUCAGAAGUAUAUGAGUUAGCUUUAAGCGUUAAUUAUGGAAAAUUUCCUAAUCACU